UAGCUCAGUCGGUAGAGCAGGGGAUUGAAAAUCCCCGUGUCGGCGGUUCGAUUCCG
rnacentral:tRNA from 1 species